rnacentral:rRNA from 1 species
UACGUAGGGGGCUAGCGUUGUCCGGAUUUAUUGGGCGUAAAGAGCGUGUAGGCGGUCCGGUAAGUCAGCUGUGAAAGUCAAGGGCUCAACCCUUGAAAGCCGGUUGAUACUGUCGGGCUAGAGUCCGGAAGAGGCGAGUGGAAUUCCCGGUGUAGCGGUGAAAUGCGCAGAUAUCGGGAGGAACACCAAUGGCGAAGGCAGCUCGCUGGGACGGUACUGACGCUGAGACGCGAAAGCGUGGGGAGCAAACAGG